rnacentral:lncRNA from 1 species
CUCUUCUUUGCAAGAAAGCAUCAUUUUAGGGUAAGAGCCAUUUCUCAGAUGUUCACCUUACUUUCUGUAGUAAGGCUUCAACAUGCUUGUGACUGCCUAUAACCCUAUCUUCAUCUUUCAAGGCCUGUGGAUACUGAAAACAAAACAAUGAAAGAACAAGACCUCUGAUAGAUUUCAUGGGCUUCUUGGAGGACCAACGUCAGUCAAUGGAAGUGUGAUGACUUAUCAGAGGCUUCCUUGGUUGCAGUACAGAAGAUGCAAUGCCAGCAGUGCUUUUUCAGGAGCUCCCUCUGAAGAAGAUCAUGGCUCAGUUACCAUGGACACCAAGAAGCUAUGCAGCUUUUUAUUCUUUUUA